UGAACAAAUUAUUUUGAUAUUGUUAUUUGAGUAUGAAAUUAUAUCAAAACUGUUACAAAGGCGCAAAAUUUUAAAUCAUUUUUAUAAAGGAAAAAACAAAUCUUCACCAAAGGACCCGAAAAUAGGGAAACCUGCGCCACGGAAAUUCGAAACAAAACUUUACAUCGAUAGCUUUGAACAAUGAAGUCACACCGAAGGUAAUUCACGAUGUUGGGAAGUUCUAUUUUUGGUUCGCAUCCUCAAGUUCUAUUAGAGAAAAUUCUCUGAGAUGGAAAUAUACUCGAAACUGGACCUAAUAUAAAAAUUCCAUCAAAAAGUUUCGAUUAUUAUGAAAAAUGUAAUAUUAACUGGAGAUAAAGCUAGCUUCUUUUAAAAUUAAAAAAAAAAAAACAAUGUAUUAAAAAUUAUAUCAUAUAUCGACGCCUAUGUUAAAAUUAUUAUUAUCUAGCUAGAGUGAAUGCUUAAAAUUUUGCACCAAUAUUACAUUAUUUUGA